GCUAGCUGUUUUAUAUUGAUUUUCCUUUGGGGAGAAGAGAAGAAACUAGAAUAAAGCUACAAAAGUCAAAAAUGCAUACCUAUAUGAUAGAGAUAUUGCACAACUUUUUCUUUUGUAAAUUAUUUGGAUCAUACAAGGAGAGAUAUAUAUACCUACUUUGAAGUAUAUAUACUAUUGAACGAAGAGCAUUAUUUGAUUGGUGUGAAUGCAAAUGAAUCUACCUGGUUGAAAGGGCAAAGAAUGUGAACCACAAUUUGGUGUGAAUAAAGAAGAUUUAAUUAUGAUAUAUAUGUAGAUGCGUGCGUAGAAGAGUUAGAUGUUGAAAAGAGGAGGUGAUUUUUGAAGUAGUGUGAAGACAAGGUGGGGAAUAGAAAAAGCUGAAGAUGAGAAGGUCUCAUCAUGGAUUAUGGGGCCAAUGCAAGAAGUGUAUCCGAAUCCUGUAGAUGGAAGCAGCAAGGUCCCUCCCAUCAAGUCAUUUUCUGCCACUGUUACCUGCAUGUGCCCAACCAAAAGACAAACACAACACACCCAAUUAUUUCUCCCUAAACAAUUCACUCUUUCCUAAGAGUUAAACGUUAUUCACCCAAACUCAAACAACCCCAAUAAGCUCCAUCAUAUCGUAUAUAUGUUUUU
rnacentral:lncRNA from 1 species